rnacentral:lncRNA from 1 species
AUGGAAACCCCGGGUGCAGGGGCUCCUCCCGCCAAAGGAAAGUGGCCCCAGGGCUCUGAGCAGGCGAGCUGGCCGCGGCGACGGGCAUCGCGGGCCUCCCCCUCCCCCCUGCUCCGGCCCCUCGGCAGCGGCCCGGGCAGUCCCCGCUGGUCUCAGUCCCGUGCCCGGAGGGCCGAGCCCUGCCUCUUCGGUUCCCCGAAGCCUGGAACCCCACCUCGUCCCUGUUGGAGCUUAGCCCCCCGCCCUGCAACCUCCGAUCGCCGUGUCCUCGGGAGAGGCUCGGUCCGUUGGGCCGGAGGCGCGGCCCCGGGGCGGCCGGGGUUCCAAUGUAAACACAUCCCAGGCCGCUCCGCCGUUCUCGGCCCCUGGCGACCCGGCCGAGGAGGCCCGCCCCCUAAACUUUCUCGCUUCAGGGGGUGCCCCUCGCCGUUCUUGGCGCGCUGCUGCGACCCCCGUCGUCCCCGCCGCCGUCUCUCUCUGCCCUACUUGGCCCCUGGCCUCAGCCCUGUCGCCGCCUCUUCUUUCAGUUCUCUCUUAAGAAAGGCGAGAGCGGCGAGCGAGCGAUCGGCGUUUGCCGGCCGGCUGGGGCCCUCGGGCCUUUCCGUCGCGGCCGCCUCGGCGUGUUCCGGGACAGCCUUCAUGUGUUGCCGCCCUCGCUGUCUUCCCUUGAGCCUCCUGGUGGCUCACUCGGCCGUUCCCCUCCCCCUCCCCUCUCCCCCUCCCCCUCCCUGGUGCUGUCCUGCCGGCGGGCCGGCAGUUCCCUGCUUGUCGGGCUUCGGCGGGCGGCUUCCUCACUCCAGCUCUGCUGGACCUCGAGGGAGGCUGGAGAGCCAGAAACGCCCAUUGAAUGGGCUCCUUCUGCACGUCGGAGUGAGAGGAGACAUAAUGACUUGGGUCCGAGAUACUUGGAAGUAUCACCUUAUCCUUUUUGUUACUCCUCCCGAGGUUACAGUCCGGAGUUGGCCAGGGGAGGCUCCCCAUAUUCUAGGACUGAUGUCUACUUAA